GGAGCAGGGACCGAGCAACGGGAGCUCACCCCGUCGCAGGGAUUCGAACCACUAACCUUCUGAUCGGCAAGCCCUAGGCUCUGUGGUUUAACCCACAGCGCCACCCACGUCCCUUUGGACCCUUAGGUGAGAGGUAAGGGAAGUGUCAUUGUCCAGUAUGUUAAAUGUUGGAUGAAUUGGUUUCUAUACCCACCAGGGUGAAAUCCUGUUAUUGGGGAUAGAUUCUGCAUCUUUCCCCCUGUCCAGUGAGAGAUAAAUGUUUUCUUUAGGGAUUGUUCAUGUAGUCCUUCCUUCUGUGUUAGUAUUUAUUUAGCUCUGGCCAGUUCUCAAGGUGUAGAAAUGCGAGUGGGUUGUUGGCUGAGGAUGUGGAAUUGAAUUAUAUGAGUGCCUGCAGAACACAGAGAGUGUGAUUUGAGGGUGCAUUAGAAUAGUAAACUUAAAUAUAUUGGUUUAGAGCAUUGAUGUGAUUGAAUAAGUGCAUUGAUCAUGUAUGGGUGAGCUCGACUGGACCUGAAUGGGAUGCACUUUUUAUGUAGCUGGAUUAAGUUGUGCAUAUAAGAGGCUAGGAAUUUACCUGGAUUGGUUUGUUUAAUAGUAUGAUUAAUGUGUGGUACUUGGGAAGUGAACUGAUUUUCUUAACUGAUGUGAUUAAAAAAGGUUGAAUUUUGAUUUUGAUUUGUAAUAUUUUACUUCCUGGUGGUUAGAGGAUAUUUUGUUUAGCUUUUUGCUAUGUUUAUUAUGAAUUUCCUUUGCAUUUCUUGAGUUUAUUUUUAUGUUUGAUAUUAAAGAGGAUGCUCUAAUUGUUUAUUGUGCUUUAUAGAAUGUAAAAACGCUCUGUUAUUUUUAUAUUUGUUGUUUAGCGAAGACAUUUUCACCUAUGUUUUAAACAGAUUUAGAUUUAGAUUUAAAUAUAAGCAGUAUAUGAAUUGGCCAAAUCAAAUAAUUAAAAUAAAUAACUGUGUGCAUUAUUUUUGUUGGUCUGCAGAUUUGUGUUCCUCCCUCCCUGCACCACCUCAUUUCUGAAGGAAGACUUCUUGCUUCCAGCAACUAACUUGAGUGUGCUCAUCAAUCUCACUAGACUUGCUGGUACUUCUCCUGAUCUGUAGUAUUCAUUCUAGCUGGGUUUCUGUUAUUAUGAACAACCUUCAUUCAUUCUGGAGAUAUUGGGCUCUCCUUUCCCUUUCAGCUUAAUAUCUAAAUAUAUUUAUUGUCACAUGAUGUGUUGUUGAGCUUUCGUAAACUCCUUGAUUCACAGUCAUACAGACGC